CACGCAGGCGGUCUUUUAAGUUUGACGUGAAAGCUCCCGGCUUAACUGGGAGAGGUCGUUGAAGACUGGAAGACUUGAGGCAAUGAGAGGGGUGUAGAAUUCCCGGUGUAGUGGUGGAAUGCGUAGAUAUCGGGGGGAAUACCAGUGGCGAAAGCGGCACCCUAGCGUUAGCCUGACGCUCAUGUGCGAAAGCGUGGGAGCAACG
rnacentral:rRNA from 1 species